GCAUCAGUGGUGUAGCGGUAACAUUGGGUCUUCCCACCAAUCACGUGAUAUGGCCUAGCUCCGGGUUCGACUCCCGGCUGAUGCA